AUCACUUCUUGGCCUUUUGGCUAAGAUCAAGUGAAGUACAGAGAGUCAUGAAGCUCAAAGAGAAGAUUUUACAUCAAUGUUAAAUUUUCUUUUUUGCUUUUUGGGUCACACCCAGCGAUGCUCAGGGGUUACUCCUGGCUUUGCACUCAGGAAUUACUCCUGGCAGUGCUUGGGGGACCAUAU